rnacentral:rRNA from 1 species
UACGAAGGUGGCAAGCGUUAUUCGGAUUUACUGGGCGUACAGGGAGCGUAGGCGGUUCGGUAAGCCCUCUGUGAAAUCUUCAGGCUUAACCUGGAAAAGUCGGAGGGGACUGCCGGGCUAGAGGACGGGAGAGGAGCGCGGAAUUCCCGGUGUAGCGGUGAAAUGCGUAGAGAUCGGGAGGAAGGCCGGUGGCGAAGGCGGCGCUCUGGAACGUUUCUGACGCUGAGGCUCGAAAGCGUGGGGAGCAAACAGG